AUGAGUACUGCCAACAAAUUUAUCAACAGCCUGAACAACUGCAUUACUGAACAAAGCCCUUACGUAGUCCUGCAUGUCAAAACCCAGAAGAAAACUGAACUAAAGAAUAAAUGUGCAUAAAAUUGUACAACAUGUAUAUUUUUGUUCUAACAUACAUUCUCUGAUUAAUUGUGAAGCAGAAUUCAUUAAAAAAAACUGAAACAAAAGUUUAUCAAACAAUUGCCUAUUAAAAUGUUUUCUGUAUAUUAGAUUCAAUUUAUAAAUACGGAAAGGACUGCCAUUAGGCAUACUUGUCUUUUUAGCAUACAUGCAGAAUGGAGCAAGACGAGACAGGGCAUAGCACAAUUUGAGUUGCUUUUAACUAACACGGACAUGUUUUAAAGCCAUUUCACAGUGAAAGCCCUCCUUAGCUGCUGUGCCUCCCCUGAUGUCCUUAUGUCUUGUAGUUUGUCCUGCAGGUGCAUGUCUCAAACAAAGAGAAGCAUGUGUCCUACCGUAUGACGCAAGAGGGAACAGCACACGAUUUGCCGCAACCGCACUACCACUUCCAAAACAAAAGCCACGUAAUAAAGACUAGUGAAGGCGUGAGGAACAAACCAGCAUCCCUCUCCAGCUGCGGAGAAGCCCUCUGGCAGUUGGCGAUGGGGUUACGCCAACCUUCUUGUCAAAAAAUGGCAGCCAUUUGACAGCAUGGGGGGAGAAAAAUAACAAAAUCGCCCCUUUCCUUUGUUGUUCUUCCAACUGUGAUGUCUUUCAUUCGUAGAUAAAGACAUGCACAUUGUUGAAGUAAACGAUGUAUUACUCUACAAAAAAAAUAGAGAUCUGUAUACUUGCCUUCCUGAUGGUUUUCGGUGUAUGCUAAGGUGCGAAGAGCAGUUCGCAGAGAUAUACCGCUGAGGAAGAGAGGAACGGACCACUAGAGAACCAAAAAAGAGUCAAAUUGUUAACCUCCAUCACAAUAACAUCUCCUUGGUAGCAAAAAGUAUGUUUCCGAGCC